rnacentral:rRNA from 1 species
AUGCCACCGUGCCACCGGGGAGUUUCGGGUUACCGCGGCGUCCGCGCGUGCCCGUCCGACGCCUUCUCCGCCGAGAUUCGGUCCGGCGACGUGCGCCUCGGGCUCGACACCUUCGAGGCCGCCCAUGAGGCCGCCCACGCGUACGACGCGGCGGCAUGGCGCCUCCGGCGGCCCCGCCGGGACAUGAACUUCCCAGAGGUGCCGACGUGGGAGAUGGUGCAGGAGAUGGCUCCUCCCCGCGGCUUCUCACCGACGAGGACCGGGAGCGCCGUCUCAGCCUCGCCGAGAUGGACGAGAAAACCAUGGCACUGUGGCGCCAAUGCUUCCCGCAGGACGUCAUCAACGAGCAGUAGUUCUUCGCAAAAAGGAGGAUGGCACUUUAUGAGGGCGUUACCAGUAACCCCCUAUCUUAAUGUACUUUAA